GUUUUGCGCGCGGGGUAGAAAAAAAUGAGGCCCAUGCUUUGUGUAUUACUCGUGCCCCACUUCAAAGCAAAGCGUUCGUACGCACUGGAAGAUGGAUCCACGAAGGCUGAAACGAGAAGUUGCAACGUGCCCGGUCGGUAGUACUGGCAUGAUGGAAACUUUCAGGUCAUGCAGAUGGUAGCAGCAAUUUCACAAUGCCCAGCCUUGGCGCCCCCCAUCAAGAGCAAGCCACUUGCGUUCGCCUUCAGACAGAUGGUUAAUGUCUUCUUGAAAGCGGUUGAGAAGACAACAUUGAUGCAAGAUUCCAGCAAUGCCAUGCGCUGCAUUUAUUGGUCAAGAUGCUCAGAGAAUGGAGUCCCUGCACCUCGUGGUUAACCGUGAACAUUUCUUUUUCUUUUGGAAAGCUAAAGGCCAUUUGCUGCAUCACUUGCAUUUUUGCAGCUCAGAUGUGUACUAUAUUUUUCUAAUUUUGAAUCAAUAUUGGCUGUUCAGUAUAAAAAAUGACGUACAGCGUGAAGGACAAGGACUGCGAGAGACACACUCCACUGACUUUCAACAAUAUUUUAUUGCGUUGCCACAUCGUGUGUGUAUACACAGAGGGGUCAUGCGCAGAAAAUGAAAGCCAGUCACAAGGGGUGUUCUAACAGCAAGUCAUUGUAAAAAGAACAUGGUCACUUGAAAAAAAAAACAUCACAAUUUCUAUCUGUUUAGAUACAAAAUUUCACUAGGGGUCAGCGUGAUAGAGGGGGCACUAACGCACACACUACCCAGUUUUCUGGUGAAAUCAGCUUCAAUAAUUUACUGGGUGAGCUGUGUCUCGCUAAAACUUCCGUAUCUUAAAGAGGGGCAUGCAGCCGCAGUCCCGGCAAUGAAUGCCCAAGUGGCCUUGAACAGUGUUAUUGACGUUGUUAUAGUGCUCUCUUAAACGAUCAUUUAGGCGCCUGCCUAUCUGUCCAAUAUAUUUACUGCCUCAAAAUGGGAAUUUGGGAAACCACAUUCGUUGCACACAUCGCAAAACGUUUUCUGUGCCCGGCAGAGCAACAACUCUGACGUGAUUUAGGCGCGUUUACACACUUACAGAGCCUUGCCAGCUUUUCCGGGGCUGAGAAAAGGACUGAUUUCUGCAGGUUCCCUAAUCUUUUUUAGCCUAUGGGAGACAUCAUGAACAUACGGUAGCACUGCAAACCUGUGUCUUUCAACCGGCUGGUUCCUUGACCGAGCGCGCUCAUCAUGUUUUGUGCACUUCAGAAGCUGUUCCGCUAUGGCUGAAAUUAAGGCCAAAGGGUAGCCAACCCAAGAAAGGCAAUCAGCCUGUGCAGCAACGCUAUGUUGCAUCUCGUGUGAGCAAGAUUUAUUGAGGCUGUUAAGGAGGCAAAGCUUUACAAUAUCUCAUUUGACUUUGUUGGACAGACAGGCAGGCGCCUAAACAAUCAUUUAGGAGAGCACGAUAACAACGUCCAUAACACUGUUCAAGGCCACUUCGGCAUCCAUUGCUGGGACUGCGGCUGCGUGCCCCUCUUUGAAGGUACGGAAGCUUUAGCGAGACACAGGUCAUCCGGGAAACUAUAGAAGCAGAUUUCACUAGAAAACUGGUUAGUGUGUGCGUUAGUGACCCCUCUAUCGUGCUGACCCCUAGUGAAGUCUUGUAUCUCAACAGAUAGAAAUUCUAAUGUUUAUUUUUUUCAAAGGACGAUGUUCUUAGUACAGUCACUUGCUGUUAGACACCCCUUGUGACUCAUAUUCUGCGCAUGCCCGCUUUUGUACAAAUACACAUGAUGUGGCAACGUAAUUAAAUAUUGUUGGAAGUCAGCGCAGUCUGUCAUCUCUCGCAGUUCUUGUCAUUCAAGCUGUACGUAAUUUUAUCUCAUUAAUUGCAAACUAUCCCAAGAAACUACCCUUGUUCAGUAUAAUUAUAAUGUUUGAUACGACCAUUUGCUGGCAAAUGUUAACAGUGUGAUAUUUAACUUGAACUUUUGCAUGACUGCCUAUGCCUGUGUUCUUUUAGUAACCAGAGUAUGGCUAAUUUAUUAAACCAUAUUUGCUAAUUUGCAUGCUCACAUGCUAUAGCAUGCCUUAAUCUUGAAUUACUGCAUCUAAGUGCAAAUAAUUUAGAAAUUUACUAUGUAUUUUAAAACACUGUCCACAUUUUGUGCUCAGCAAAAUCGUUUAAUCAACAGUGGUUUGUUUUUAUCAGGCCUCCUACUGCACUUUGCACCCAGGCACUAGUAGAUGUGGAAUAUGCACUCUUUUGAUUUAUAGUAAGAAAAGAACCUAUUUUCAAACUACAUAUUGUAUAUGUACCAGUGCCUUAGAGUUACAAAACAAAAAUUUAUAGAAACUGGUAUUGUAGUUAGAAAAACCGCUACACAGCACCUUUAGCCCAGAGAACUCUCGUUUCACAAAAGAGGACAAACUAUGUAGGCACUAAAAAAUUCUACGUAUUUUUUGUGCUCAAGUAAUCUUGUUGGAAAUAGAAAAUUAGCAAUAAGGCUCCUGACAUAAACCUCACUUAAAGCAUGUCUAUGCUUGGAAAGUAUUGUUUCAGUCUGAAAAAUGUUGGCCAGUUAUGCUUUACAUCGACUUUCCAAACUUUUCAUAAUGCUUUGCGAUUACAUUAGUGUACAAAAUAACAGGUGUCUUUCUUGUGCGUUUGCUCUGCAUUUCAAUUGCUUCCCUAAUUCACCUUUGCAAUAUGCCUUUUUUUAAGGCAUCAAAACUUGAAUUUUCGUUCACUGGAGCCUAAUACUAAAAAUUUAUUCCUUUAUGUGGCCCAAAACACUGCGAAUCAACCCAGGCUCUUUCAGUGCCGCUAUACAUAGUUUCUUCUCUAAUAACAGAUUUGAUCAAUACAUAUAUUUUAGGUACCUUUGUGGGGAAUGUACAUGUUCUUGUACUUACCGAUGUGUUUGGUGAUUGUGCAUGUUUAUAUUUCAUGUGAUUUAUGUAUAUGUUGUACUCUGUAUUGCAGCAUGCAAUAAAUAUAUUUGCGUUUUCUUGAAAAUGCAGCAUA